rnacentral:tRNA from 1 species
GCGUCCGUAGCUCAGCUGGAUAGAGUACCUGCCUACGAACCAGGACGGUCAGAGGUUCGAAUCCUCUCGGACGCGCCA